GAGUUUGAUCCUGGCUCAGAACGAACGCUGGCGGCGUGCUUAACACAUGCAAGUCAGGGAGAAAGUCUCUUCGGGGAUGAUUAAACCGGCGCACGGGUGAGUAACACGUGAGUGACCUGCCUUUUAGACUGGAACAACUUACCGAAAGGUGAGCUAAUGCCGGAUGAGUUAUAUAAGUGCAUGUUUAUAUAGGAAAAGUUGGGGAGACCUGACGCUGAAAGAUGGACUCACGUCCCAUUAGCUAGUUGGUAGGGUAAUGGCCUACCAAGGCGACGAUGGGUAGCCGGCCUGAGAGGGUGGCCGGCCACACUGGGACUGAGACACGGCCCAGACUCCUACGGGAGGCAGCAGUGGGGAAUUUUGCGCAAUGCUCGUAAGAGUGACGCAGCGACGCCGCGUGAAUGACGAAGGCCUUCGGGUCGUAAAGUUCUUUCGACAGGGAAGAAAAUGCCUAUAAGUAACUGUGUAUGUAUUGACGGUACCUGUAUAAGCAGCCCCGGCUAACUCCGUGCCAGCAGCCGCGGUAAUACGGAGGGGGCGAGCGUUGUUCGGAGUGACUGGGCGUAAAGAGCACGUAGGCGGUGUUGUAAGUCAUUAGUCAAAGACUAGAGCUCAACUUUAGUAAGGCUAGUGAUACUAUAAUACUAGAGUAUCAGAGAGGAUUGCAGAAUUCCUGGUGUAGCGGUGAAAUGCGUAGAUAUCAGGAGGAAUACCGUUA
rnacentral:rRNA from 1 species